CUGUUUGCUCAUAUCUGUUGAAGAGCCUCAGUCUCCAGACGUGUCAGAGAGAAGAGAGGGAAAAAAUGUCCAGUGGGAAAAACCACAGAUGCAGUGUUUUAUAUAUAGCACAUACCUGAAGUGCAUGUAUUAAAAUUAUUUUUUCCUCUGUAAGAUAAAAGUAUUUUUAAAACCUGGUUCAUUUUAUUAUAAUGGUAGUGGAUUUAGCUUUCCACUGUUAUAGGAAUUUAAUACUUGAUGUCCUGUGGGGAACUUCUCAACCUUGGUAAUAUACUUAAAAUAUAUAUUCUGGUGCUUUCUCUCUUAUCCAGCUAGAAGUUCAGGAUGUGUAGCAAAAUCCUAGCCAGAUCAGGCAUUAACAGUGGAAGUUUGUUGUGCAAGGUGUUACUAGUCCAUGAAAAGCAGUGCAAAUGUUUGUCUUUCAUUUUUGUGCUGAAAAUACUUAGGUUUAGGUUUUGAUCUUUGAACAGCUGAUAUCUUGAAGUGAUUUAAAUCUUUAUUCGUCUGUGUAAUAAAAGCGCUUUGAAGUACAGAGGGGACUAUUUGAAUAAGUUUUUCCCCUUUCAAGAGAGGGGAAAAAAACGCAACUCUAAUGAUGAUCAGAAAUGGCAUCAGUAAGUUCUUUCAGUUUUGUUAAAUCCACCCAUUUAUACCUUACAGAUACGGUUUGGUUUUGUUUAGAGCAAUCAUUAGCCAUUUUUAGAGAAUUUAAACUAAAACCCAGCAACAGAUUCAGAGACAUGAACAUCCGGGAGGCAAAGCCGUCAGCUCUGACAGUGUGGCAGAAUUCCGACUCAGGCGAUGGUGACAUGCAGAAAAGGAACAGUGUAACUGUUGUUCAUGCCAUCUACCACGUCUGCCAGAAUCUUAACAUUGUUUUAAAAUCCAUAUUUAGGAUCUUUCUGUAAUUAAAAAUGUACGGUGGUGAAAGACUGUGAUGAUGGUGUAGAUUAAAGUAGCAGGCAGAUUAGAUUCACUUUAUCAUCCAGGAAGUAGAGGCAGUGAGGGAGACGCCCCUGGGCUCGGCCCCCGGCCGGUGGGUGGG